AACAGUGGCUAAGUUGGUUAAAAUAAUGAAAGCAGAUUUAUAAUGGACUCUCGGAUUGUCAAAAUCAAAACCUGAAUGAGGAGAUUAAAACGCAGAGGUUUCAGAUCCUGACCAGCCACGCUAUAUAUAUUUCAGUUGGAUGCGGCGGUAAUUAGUAUCGGACAUGAGAAGCUGAACUAUGCGAACAAAUGCCUUUUUUCCCGAGAAAGACCAAAGGUAAAGAAGGCCUCGACCAAUUCCCUCAAUGAUGAUCACACGUUUACUCCAAUCAAGGAACUCUUUCUCUUCAGGGUCUGAACCUCAGCCAAGGAGUUUAACAAGAUUACGGUGUUGAAGUUUGGAAAUCACCACAACCUCAUUCAUAAACUCCUCUAGCCCCUGACCAGAAGACUG